rnacentral:rRNA from 1 species
UACGUAGGGGGCAAGCGUUGUCCGGAUUUAUUGGGCGUAAAGAGCUCGUAGGCGGCUUGUCGCGUCGACUGUGAAAUCCCGCGGCUCAACUGCGGGUCUGCAGUCGAUACGGGCAGGCUAGAGUUCGGUAGGGGAGACUGGAAUUCCUGGUGUAGCGGUGAAAUGCGCAGAUAUCAGGAGGAACACCGAUGGCGAGGGCAGGUCUCUGGGCCGACUACUGACGCUGAGAAGCGAAAGCGUGGGGAGCGAACAGG